UACGGGGGGAGAGCAGUGUUCGUGAUUUACUGGGCGUAAAGGCGCGUAGGCGGCCACCGCAAGUCGACUGUGAAAUCUCCGGGCUUAACCCGGAAAGGUCAGCCGAUACUGCGGGGCUAGAGUGCAGAAGGGGCAACUGGAAUUCUCGGUGUAGCGGUGAAAUGCGUAGAUAUCGAGAGGAACACCUGCGGCGAAGGCGGGUUGCUGGGCUGACACUGACGCUGAUGCGCGAAAGCUAGGGGAGCGAACGGG
rnacentral:rRNA from 1 species